rnacentral:misc_RNA from 1 species
UACGUAGGGUGCGAGCGUUGUCCGGAAUUACUGGGCGUAAAGAGCUUGUAGGCGGUUUGUCGCGUCGAUUGUGAAAUCUUGCAGCUCAACUGCAAGCCUGCAGUCGAUACGGGCAGACUAGAGUACUUCAGGGGAGACUGGAAUUCCUGGUGUAGCGGUGAAAUGCGCAGAUAUCAGGAGGAACACCGGUGGCGAAGGCGGGUCUCUGGGAAGUAACUGACGCUGAGAAGCGAAAGCGUGGGUAGCGAACAGG